ACUUGGUAUUGGUUUCGGAAAACAGCCUGGAUAGCGCAGAACGUGUAUUACGGGAGUCACUUGACACUCAUCCACCCCUGCGAUUGUAGAGACGUUUCCACAAAGUAGAAACAUCAGUGUAGCCAGUAGAGCUGUUGUUCAUGGAUACCUAGCUGGUUCUAGUUCACUGAGUCAUAACUAAAAUCAUAAGGACUUCCAAUGCCAUGCGGGCAAUAAUAUUCUUGACAAUAACUGGAAUGUGCCGAAAACACUAACACAUGGCAGGUGGUUCCAGUUCUAACGGAGAUUCUUCUCCAAGUCGAGUAUGUAGAGAUUUUCUGCGCAACGUUUGCCACAGAGGGAAGCGAUGUAAAUAUCUUCAUGAAAGAUCAGAAGAUGACCCAGCAGAUGAAUAUACUUUUUGUCAUGAUUUUCAAAAUGGGAUUUGCAAUUGGCCGGGAUGCCGAUUUUUGCAUUGCACCGAAAGUGAAGAAAAACACUUCAGAGCAACUGGUGAAUUACCACCGCGCAUUUUAUCGAAUUUGAAAUGUAACAAUGACAAAUCCGAACUACCGUUAUGCAAGGAUUUCAUCAAAGGCAGCUGCCAAAGAGUCAAUUGUAAGUACAGGCAUUACAAGAAGGAAGAACCACAGCAUCCUAUGGUCCCUCCGCCCCAUCAUACCGUUACGAGACCUCAACAUAAUUUUAACGGUGUCAGUAAUGGCGAAAAUCGAAGAUAUGAAGAAGAAAGAAGCUACCACUGGCAGAUGGAGGACCCGCAUCCACUGGUCCACAAUAAUGGCUACAAUCCUUCUACGCAUCCGCCUGAUUAUUUGGGGCCUCCUGAAGCAAAACGACGAAUUGUCUCUGGAGAAACUAUCUUGCAUUUCGAAACGUCACCUCUGGUAGGACAGCAUCCAACCCAGCCUGUAACUUCUAGCUAUUACUAUCCUGUAAUCCCCAGAAAUGAAGCUAGAGCUUUUAAUCUCGAAGAUGAAAAUGCAUUGCUGAAAAAAAAGAUUGAGGAACUAAAAAAGCAGGUCAACGAUUUAACAGCGACAAAUGAAUUCCUACUGGACCAAAAUGCACAACUAAGAAUGUCUGGUAAAAGGACAACUAAUGUAACUGCUGUAACAGUCCCAGCAGUUACGAUAACAAACACUGUACCUCCAUCUCAAGCUCCAACACCUCAACAGAUGGUUAAUGCUGCUGUAGCAGCUGGAACACUGCGAACUGUUACAGCUAGCGUUGCAACUGUUCCUGUGAGCAUAGCAACAGUAACUCCUGUAUCAAUCGCUGCUGUUUCCAUGGCACCGGUGUCUAUUCCUCCACCGAUUGUCACGAUGGCUCAACAAACUAUUAGUAUGAGUGGUUCGGGUCCUCAGCCUACCAACCAACAAGCACCGAACGCUCAGCAACCAACAAACUUACCACUAUCAAUAUCUGGUCCAACCGCACCACUCGUUUCUUAUCCAAUUAUGACACAAGAACUGAGACCUGUCUUACAAUAAAAGAUUAUUCUUUUAUUGAAGUUAAAAAAACACCAACUCAUUUAAAUACUGUAUUAGGGAGCCUAAGAUCAAAACCAUGAUUCGUAACAUCCCAGCUAAAACCGUAUAAAAUCAAAAGAUUAGAUGACUCUUGACCCGGCUAGGUGGGUAGUAACGGUCAAGAACGCAGCUGCUUCGUGGGGGGCCAUUUCUGCUAUGUCAAAACAAAUAGAAUGGUCUCGUGGACAGGCGCUGCGCUAUCGGCGUAUGAAAAACGUGUCAUUGGUAUUUCAGGACUAUCAUGUAACUACAUUCCGGAAAUCAGACAAGAUAUUAUCGAACAGGUCGGCUCAAUUUGUUCACAUUUUUGAGUUCAGGAUCAUAUAAUAGAUUUUAUACGGUUUUGGCCAGGAUGUUAUGAGUCAAAAAUCAUGGUCGUGAGCUGCCGUAAUAUACGUGUGUUCUACUUAUCGUAAUGAUCAAGAAAUAUAAGCCUACGAAUAGUUAUAUUUUAUAUACAAAAAUAGAUUGCUAUAGGUACUUUUAUUGUCCCAGAUACUACUAAACAAAGCUUGCGAAAUUUGUUAGCUUAUUGGUUGUUUUCCCUCAUAUUAACGUAGCAGGCUUCUUUUCAUAUUUUCAGUAAGAUAUUUUUCUUCUUAGAAGUGGUAGAGUGGAGAAUUCAUUUAUCAUUGAUUGUUAAAUGUUUCUAAAGCAAAAUAUUACAUAUUUAUAGAAAAGAAAUGUCUAAUUUGAUACAAGUCUAGAAAUUCCAGACAAAUAUAAUAAAUUGUGAAAGAUGAACUGUAUACCAAUCCCGAACAGGUGUAGAGCCUUGAAAGUUAUUGUGUGUACUUUGGUAAGUUCGUUGACUGAAGAAUAUAAAGACAGUUGCCCUAAUGGGUUUUGGUGUGACAACCGAAAAUCGUCGUGCGCUUGCACCCCCUGAGAUGUUCCAACGGUAGAGUUGAGAAGUUAUUGCAGAACAUCAAGAGAGUUGCCGAUUUCGACAUGAUGCUGGCUGCAUUCACCUUCCGAGUAACGCAGUCUUCGCAACGGUAAGCCCAAGCCAGUACUUAACCUGUGUGUACUUACCGACUUGUCGGCGAUACAAGAAAUCAAUAAUGAGAAUAAAUUUCUUCCAAAGUU
rnacentral:misc_RNA from 1 species